rnacentral:lncRNA from 1 species
GGUUUCACCAUGUUGGCCAGACUGGUCUCGAACUCCUGACCUCAGGUGAUCUGCUUGCCUUAGCCUCCCAAGGUGCUGGAAUUAUAGGCGUGAGCCACCACGCCCGGCCUGGAUUUCUUAUAUAUAAGAUCAUGACAGACAUAAUGUUACUUCUGUGCCAUUUUGGAUGCCUUCUCUUUGUUUUUCUUGCACAAUUUCUCUGUCUACCUUCAAUCCGAUAUUGAAUAGAAGUAGUAAAAAGUGGACAUCCUUGUCUUAUGCCUGCUAUUGGAGAAAAAGCUUUUAGUCUUUCGUUGUUGAGUAUGAUAUUAGCUGUGGGUUUUUUUAUAUGGUCAGGUUGUGUAUGGUGGCUCCUGCCUGUAAUCCCAGCAGUUUGGGAGGCUGAGGUGGGAGGAUUGCUUGAGGUCAGGAGUUUGAGAUCAGUCUGGGCAACAUAGGAAGACUCUUUGUUUACAAAAAACUAAAAAAUUAGCUGGGCAUGGUGGUGCAUGCCUAGCUACUUGGAGGCUGAGGCAGGAUGAUAGCUUGAGCCCGGGAGUUUGAGGUUACAGUGAGUAAUGAUCAUGCCACUGCCCUCCAGCCUGGACAACAUAGCAAAAUCCUGCCUCAUAAAUAAAUAGUCUUUAUUAUAUUGAAUUAAUUUCCUAUUUCUAAUUUCGUUGAGUGCUUUUUAAAUCAUGAAAGGAUAUAAAUGUUCUCAAAUUUUUGUUUAUAUCAAUUGAGAUGAUUGUGUGUGUGUGUGUUUUUUUUUCCCCUUUGGUUAAUGUGGUACAUUACAUCGGUUGAUUUUUGUACAUUGGGCCACUCCAGGAAUAAUUCCACUUGGUCAUGGCAUAUAAUUCUUUUAAUAUACUGCUGAGUUCAGUUUGCUAGAAUACCAAAAAAAGCCAGGCGUGGUGGCAACAUGCCUAUCAUCCAGCUACUGAAGAGGCUGAGGUGGAAAGAUCACUUGAGCUGGGGAGUUGGAGGCUGCAGUGAGCCGUGAUCAAGCCACUGAACUCCACGCUGAGCGACAGUUUUCUAGAAUUUUCGUUGAGGAUUUUUGUAUCCAUCUUUUUUAUUAUUGUUGUUGAGACAAGGUCUCACUCUGUCGCUCAGCAUGGAGUUCAGUGGCUUGAUCACGGCUCACUGCAGCCUCCAACUCCCCAGCUCAAGUGAUCUUUCCACCUCAGCCUCUUCAGUAGCUGGGAUGACAGGCAUGUUGCCACCAUGCCUGGCUUUUUUUGAUAUUUUUUCUGUAGAGAUGAGGUUUCGCCAUGUCGCCCAGGCUGGUCUCAAACUCCUGAACUCAAGCAAUCUGCCUGCCUCAGCCUCCCAAAGUACUGGCAUUACAGGCUUGAGCCACCACAACCAGCCUAGUAAUGUUCUUUUCUUUUUUGAGACAGAGUCUCACUCUGUUGCCCAGGCUGGAGUGCAGUGACACAAUCUUGUUCACUGCAACCUCCACCUUCAAGGUUCAAGCGAUUCUCGUGCCUCAGCCUCCUGAGUAGCUGGGAUUACAGGCAUGUGCCACCACGCCCGGCUAAUUUUUUUUUUUCGAGAUGGAGUUUCACUUUUGUCACCCAGGCUGGAGUGCAAUGGCACCAUCUUGGCUCACUGCAACCUCUG